AAAUGCCUAUGAAUUUAAUUUUUACAAAAUAGCGAAAACUCAUUGCGUGUAAUCUUGAUUAUUUGUUCUCGUUCAAUUUUGUUGCUUUUUGGUUGUGUUUUCUAGUUUUUGCAUUGAGUUGAGCUUCGUAUUCCUCCGUAAAACUACUAGGACUUCGCCCUGAUUCGAAAUAUAUAUUACCGGCCGGUAUAGUAUUUUAAGUUCCAAAAGACGUUAAUAAAAGAAUGUGUUUGUUUUGCGAAAAGGACCCUAUAAUAUUCUCGUGUUGUUUUGUGCUAGCAGUAUAUCAAGAUGCCGAGACGUUGUGUAUUAGGAUGUGAACCUUCUGAUGUUCCACUCUAUGUUUUCCGAGAUCCAGCCAAGACCGAAAUCGUAAUAA
rnacentral:misc_RNA from 1 species